rnacentral:lncRNA from 1 species
AUGAAUAUAACAUCACUUCCUUGUUUGCAGCUUGCCAGGAGAAGAGGGGUGACGGGAGGAGAAGGUUCCACAGCAUCACCUAGCUUGGAGAGCAGCCGGAGUCUCAUUCUAUUGUGGGCCAAGGAGCUGGACCAGCUCCAAAAGACAUCCACACCAACAACAGAGGUUCAGAUGAUGAGAGGAAAGAGGAUUCCAGGUGGAGGAGGGAAAGACAAAAGUUUGGAGAAAGAGAAUCAGAGAAUAUUGGAAUGGGCAACAGAACUGAAGAAUGUAUCAGAGGUGUGUGGGCUGUCAGACGAGGACCUGAAGCGUCUGUUGGGACCGCGGGGGGUCAGGGAGUCUAGGCUAGCUGGCGUUCUGCCAUUGCUGGAGUUCGUUGCCUGGUCUCUACUGUCAAAUGACACUGAGGUGAGAGAAUAGUGUGUGUGUGUGUGUGUGUGUGUGUGUGUGUGUGUGUGUGUGUGUGUGUGUGUGUGUGUGUGUGUGUGUGUGUGUGUGUGUGUGUGUGUGUGUGUGUGUGUGUGUGUGUGUGUGUGUGUGAGAGAGAGAGAGAGAAAGGUAUGUUUUGACUAAUUCUACCCUAGACUUUCUAGGCUGCUGUAGCCAUGCUGCCAUAUGAAUAUAAACACUCUGGCAAUUCAUCUCCCUGCUUGUCGUGUCAGGAGGACGUAUCAAAGCUGUGGUUGUCAACCAAACAGAGAGCAUGGAGAACUGGUGAGAGCUCACUGUUGAAUUCCCCAUCCUGUUUUCUCCUCGCACUCUCUCUCCCUCUCUUUCUCUCUCUCUUGCUCUCUCACCCCCCCCUCUCUCUUCCGCACCCAGUUAUUAUUGCACUAAUCUCUUCUUCUCAUUGCAAAUAGGAAGCCAAAAGUACAUCCCUAAUUCUGUAUGGCAAUGGAUUCACAGUGCUUCAAGUAGGAAGAAAUAAUAACUAACAUUUAUCACAGUAACACAUACAAUUACAUUGAAAUCAUGCUGACAUAAAUAUUUUCAUUUUUCAAUAAAUUAAGAAUCACUUAAUGAAUGAAACAUUGAGUAUCAUGUUGAAGGAUUUUGAGAGGAAACAAACAAGG